rnacentral:hammerhead_ribozyme from 1 species
AUCCAACUGACGAGUCCCAAAUAGGUUGACGAAACAUGCGUCCUGGAU